rnacentral:lncRNA from 1 species
UGGGGUGCUGGGAUAGGCUUUGACAACGAUUUAUUGAAAUAUUUGAGCUAUUAUCACGCUGUCAGCCUGAGAAUUGUUUAGUUGACAUCUUGUUGACUUUAUGAUCUCCUCGUACCACAAUAAAGUGGUUAUUUGGUGCAUUUUGAACACUGCUGCAAUUUCCUGUAUUUGCUUAUUCACUGGAGGAAAUAUCUAUCAUCAGCAAUGCUAAAAAAUUGGGGUUUUACCCACAUCGUCUCAAAUUGCAAUCUGACACUUUAAGGGCAGUCCCACCAGUGAUCUGUUAUGGCUUUAUAUUUUAUACAGUUUUAUAAACAAACUUGAAUUACAUAAAUGCAACUAGCGAUGGAUAUGAUUUAACUGAACUGUGUAACAUCAGAUAAGUCAUUGGAAGAAGAUAAAACAUGUAACGUGUGCCUAUACAC